rnacentral:tRNA from 1 species
GGUGGUGUGGUGUAAUGGUAGCACGUCAGAUUGUGGUGCAAAACACAACGAAUCUCUGUCAAUCUGGGUUCGAUUCCCAGCACCGCCA